rnacentral:rRNA from 1 species
AAAGCUUGCUUUCUUUGCCGGCGACCGGCGCACGGGUGAGUAACACGUAUCCAACCUGCCCUUUACUCGGGGAUAGCCUUUCGAAAGAAAGAUUAAUACCCGAUGGCAUAAUGAUUCCGCAUGGUUUCAUUAUUAAAGGAUUCCGGUAAAGGAUGGGGAUGCGUUCCAUUAGGUUGUUGGUGAGGUAACGGCCCACCAAGCCUUCGAUGGAUAGGGGUUCUGAGAGGAAGGUCCCCCACAUUGGAACUGAGACACGGUCCAAACUCCUACGGGAGGCAGCAUG